rnacentral:rRNA from 1 species
AACGAACGCUGGCGGCAUGCCUAACACAUGCAAGUCGAACGGGAUCCUAGCUUGCUAGGUGAGAGCGGCGCACGGGUGAGUAACGCGUACAUGACCUGCCUGUCAGAAGGGGAUAGCCCUGGGAAACUGGGAUUAAUACCCUAUGGUAUUGAUAUUAUGAAUGAUAUCAAUUAAAGUUGAGGCGCUGACAGAUGGAUGUGCGUCUGAUUAGCUAGUUGGUAGGGUAACGGCCUACCAAGGCGACGAUCAGUAGGGGGCGUGAGAGCGUGGUCCCCCACACGGGUACUGAGACACGGACCCGACUCCCUACGGGAGGCAGCAGUAAGGAAUAUUGGUCAAUGCCCGCAAGGGUGAACCAGCCAUUCCGCGUGGAGGAUGAAGGCCCUAUGGGUUGUAAACUUCUUUUAGAUGGGAAGAAAAUGCUAGAUGUAUCUGGUACUGACGGUACCAUCAGAAU